UACGUAGGUGGCGAGCGUUGUCCGGAUUUACUGGGCGUAAAGGGAGCGUAGGCGGGCUUUUAAGUGAGAUGUGAAAUACUCGGGCUCAACUUGAGUGCUGCAUUUCAAACUGGAAGUCUAGAGUGCAGGAGAGGAGAAUGGAAUUCCUAGUGUAGCGGUGAAAUGCGUAGAGAUUAGGAAGAACACCAGUGGCGAAGGCGAUUCUCUGGACUGUAACUGACGCCGAGGCUCGAAAGCGUGGGGAGCAAACAGG
rnacentral:rRNA from 1 species